GACGUAGGGGGCAAGCGUUGUCCGGAAUUAUUGGGCGUAAAGCGCUCGUAGGCGGAUCGAUAAGUCUGUGAAGAAAGACCCGGGCUCAACUCGGGGAACGGCAUAGAUACUGUUGAUCUUGAGACAGUCAGAGGAUGAUGGAAUUCCAGGUGUAGCGGUGAAAUGCGUAGAUAUGUGGAGGAACACCAGUGGCGAAGGCGACUCUCUGGUC
rnacentral:rRNA from 1 species